rnacentral:ncRNA from 15 species
CACACGCGACUGGCGGCCAGAGGAUGGGCACCAAACCAUCGGGGAGCUGCACGCGCGGAGGUCGACCGCCUGGGCCCCGCCG